CCGUGGGUGACGAGAAUUGCAUUCGAAGCUACUAAAGAAGAUUCAAUCUUCCUAUUUGCUUUGGGGAAAGUCUCCGGUCGUAUGGGCGGAAACGCUGUCGGGUCAACCCCCGGCCCAUGUUUAGGCUCUCUUUUAAGGCCCUAGUGGCCCUCCUUUACAGUUGCCUUAGUAAAGGCCAGCACCAUUUGGUGCCGACAUCUUUGGGGUGUAGCUACGAGGGGAGAGAGCUUGACAUGGCCUUUUAAAAUUUCGACGAUGAGGUAUUUGCCUUAAACGAAAGUUAUUGCAAUUGCCCAGUAAAAUGGGUAACCCAAUGGAGCUUACUCGUAGCCCACG
rnacentral:RNase_MRP_RNA from 1 species